rnacentral:rRNA from 1 species
UACGUAGGUGGCAAGCGUUGUCCGGAUUUAUUGGGCGUAAAGAGCUCGUAGGCGGUUUGUCGCGUCGGCCGUGAAAUCUCCACGCUUAACGUGGAGCGUGCGGUCGAUACGGGCAGACUUGAGUUCGGUAGGGGAGACUGGAAUUCCUGGUGUAGCGGUGAAAUGCGCAGAUAUCAGGAGGAACACCGGUGGCGAAGGCGGGUCUCUGGGCCGAUACUGACGCUGAGGAGCGAAAGCGUGGGGAGCGAACAGG